UCUUCCCCCUCUGGACGAGCCUGGACGACACGGGAGUGCUCUUCUGCAACUCUGACCUCUACAGCAUAUUAAACAAGAGGCGGAUGGGUCACAUGGACACCUCAUUAAUUCGCCUUCCCCGAAAGGAGGACAGACGCCCUAGUCUUCCCCUAGGCACUGGGGGCCUCUGGCAGAGAGCAGAAAUGUCACUUACAUGUGGAAAGAAAACAAAACAAAAUAACAGGAACCCUUCUGGCCCUGAUACACUGGACAAUAUCCCUGUUGCCGCUUCCUGCACCGCCACACUGGUUCCUGUAUGCCAGGUCCCCAGGCUCCCAGGCUACAACAUGCCCAUUUUCCUGGAAACAUGAUGAGCUGCUGCCUGGUAGGCCGCAGACCUCUGCCCAAGCAUACCUCAGGAUGGUCCCUUUCAGUGGCUUGGACUGCAACUUCCAAACCCUGGCCAUGCUUUGAUUCUAUCCCGGGCAGUCUUUGCUUGUGUGUUGUUGUCAUUAGAAUCAAUCUGCUGGGAGAACUCAGGGUGAAGAAAUCAAGGGCUCUGGUUCCUGUUUUGUGACCCUGAAACCGACAAUGAAGGAUGUGGUGGCUUUGAACAGUCUCUGCCCUUUGAGAAGCUUGAAGUCUGUUGAGCUCCUAAACAUCUCAGUGGUUUGUAGCAACAAUGUGAGAAAGUCUCUAUAGGGCUUAAUAAUUUGAAGUUUGGUGCCUUCUGUGCAGUGCUCAGGUUGGUUUUAGGAUGAAAUAAUGACAUCUGUGGAGGCCCUAGCAGAGCAUAUUGAGUCACUGUAGCCUUGGACAGCUUCUCUUUGUCCUUCUAGACUUUCUUCCCUCUACCCUUGUCCUAUGCUGAGUCAGAAAGGACCACAUCAAUAGGCCCAGGGCCAGAGGUGUCAGUCAGUGGGUACCUCAGGAGGACAGAGGGGUGACUACCAUCUAUUGAGCUGAGUUUCCUGCCCAUCAGGAGGCCCCCUUCUCUUGGCCCUCUAGCUGAGAUCUGGUCCCCUGUGUUCUCUUCUCUUUAGGUCUAGAGGUGCAACUGAGCCUUCUUGGUGUCUUAAGUUUGUAAGGCUUAAGAGCUUAAGUUUGUAAAUUGUCCUUUUAUUAAACUCUCA